rnacentral:rRNA from 1 species
GAUGAACGCUAGCGGGAGGCUUAAUACAUGCAAGUCGAACGGUAACAGGGGACUUCGGUCCUGCUGACGAGUGGCGCACGGGUGAGUAACGCGUACACGACCUACCUUUAAGAGGGGGAUAGCCUCGGGAAACUGAGAAUAAUACCCCAUGUGAUUAAUUUUUCUAAAAUGGUUAAUUAAAGACUUCGGUUGCUUAAAGAUGGGUGUGCGUACUAUUAGGUAGUUGGUAGGGUAACGGCCUACCAAGCCGACGAUAGUUAGGGGGCGUGAGAGCGUGAUCCCCCACACGGGUACUGAGACACGGACCCGACUCCUACGGGAGGCAGCAGUAAGGAAUAUUGGACAAUGGGCGCAAGCCUGAUCCAGCCAUCCCGCGUGGAGGAUGACGGCCCUCUGGGUUGUAAACUCCUUUUAUAUAAGAAGAAUAGCCCCGAUUUAUCGGGGUAUGACGGUACUAUAUGAAUAAGCACCGGCUAACUCCG